rnacentral:rRNA from 1 species
UACGGAAGGCAGCAGUGGGGAAUAUUGCACAAUGGGCGAAAGCCUGAUGCAGCGACGCCGCGUGAGGGAUGACGGCCUUCGGGUUGUAAACCUCUUUCAGUAGGGAAGAAGCGAAAGUGACGGUACCUGCAGAAGAAGCACCGGCUAACUACGUGCCAGCAGCCGCGGUAAUACGUAGGGUGCGAGCGUUAUCCGGAAUUAUUGGGCGUAAAGAGCUCGUAGGCGGUUUGUCGCGUCUGUCGUGAAAGUCCGGGGCUUAACCCCGGAUCUGCGGUGGGUACGGGCAGACUAGAGUGCAGUAGGGGAGACUGGAAUUCCUGGUGUAGCGGUGGAAUGCGCAGAUAUCAGGAGGAACACCGGAUGGCGAAGGCAGGUCUCUGGGCUGUAACUGACGCUGAGGAGCGAAAGCAUGGGGAGCGAACAGGGAUUAGAUACCCGU